GGAUUAGCGGCGGACGGGUGAGUAAUGCCUAGGAAUCUGCCUGGUAGUGGGGGACAACGUUUCGAAAGGAACGCUAAUACCGCAUACGUCCUACGGGAGAAAGCAGGGGACCUUCGGGCCUUGCGCUAUCAGAUGAGCCUAGGUCGGAUUAGCUAGUUGGUGAGGUAAUGGCUCACCAAGGCGACGAUCCGUAACUGGUCUGAGAGGAUGAUCAGUCACACUGGAACUGAGACACGGUCCAGACUCCUACGGGAGGCAGCAGUGGGGAAUAUUGGACAAUGGGCGAAAGCCUGAUCCAGCCAUGCCGCGUGUGUGAAGAAGGUCUUCGGAUUGUAAAGCACUUUAAGUUGGGAGGAAGGGUUGUAGAUUAAUACUCUGCAAUUUUGACGUUACCGACAGAAUAAGCACCGGCUAACUCUGUGCCAGCAGCCGCGGUAAUACAGAGGGUGCAAGCGUUAAUCGGAAUUACUGGGCGUAAAGCGCGCGUAGGUGGUUCGUUAAGUUGGAUGUGAAAUCCCCGGGCUCAACCUGGGAACUGCAUCCAAAACUGGCGAGCUAGAGUAUGGUAGAGGGUGGUGGAAUUUCCUGU
rnacentral:rRNA from 1 species